UCGAGAAUCUUCGGCAAUGGACGCAAGUCUGACCGAGCGACGCCGCGUGCGGGAUGAAGGCCCUCGGGUUGUAAACCGCUGUCAGAGGGGAUGAAAUGCUUGGGGGUUAUCCCCCUUGCUUGACAUAUCCUCAGAGGAAGUACGGGCUAAGUUCGUGCCAGCAGCCGCGGUAAGACGAACCGUACAAACAUUAUUCGGAAUUACUGGGCUUAAAGGGUGCGUAGGCGGCGCGGAAAGUUGGGUGUGAAAUCCCUCGGCUCAACCGAGGAAUUGCGCUCAAAACUACCGUGCUUGAGGGAGAUAGAGGUGAGCGGAACUUAGGGUGGAGCGGUGAAAUGCGUUGAUAUCCUAAGGAACACCAGUGGCGAAAGCGGCUCACUAGAUCUUUUCUGACGCUGAGGCACGAAAGCUAGGGGAGCGAACGGGAUUAGAUACCCCCGUAGUCC
rnacentral:rRNA from 1 species